AUUGAACGCUGGCGGAAUGCUUUACACAUGCAAGUCGAACGGCAGCACGGGGGCAACCCUGGUGGCGAGUGGCGAACGGGGGAGUAAUACAUCGGAAAAUGCCCGGUCGAGGGGGAUAACGUAGCGAAAGUUACGCUAAUACCGCAUACGAACUGAGGAUGAAAGCGGGGGACGUUCGGGCAUCGCGCGAUCGGAGCGGCCGAUGUCAGAUUAGGUAGUUGGUGGGGUAAAGGCCUACCAAGCGGAGGAUCGGUAGCUGUUCUGAGAGGACGACCAGCAAAACUGGGACUGAGACACGGCCCAGACUCCUACGGGAGGAAGCAGUGGGGAAUUUUGGACAAUGGGCGCAAGCCUGACCCAGCCAGUCCGCGUGCAGGACGAAGGCCUUCGGGUUGUAAACUGCUUUUGUAUGGAACGAAAAGGCUCUGGCUAAUACCUGGGGCUCAUGACGGUACCGUAAGAAUAAGCACCGGCUAACUACGUG
rnacentral:rRNA from 1 species